CCCAGAUGUGCACGAACAGGGUGCCCUUUCUGUCCUCCCCUGAAGCCCAGAUUCUUCAUAGCAUAUCAGAUUCUUCAUGAAUCGAAAUCUCGAUUCUCAAAUCUUGUGGGAGUAAAUCAUGAACCUGAAAACUUGAGGUUUUUAUACCUGAUUACAAUGUAUCUGUUGCUGAGUUGGUGAUACCAGGGGCUGACCUUUCACAGCACUUAAGGUGUGUUAUUUUGCAAAACGUAGAUAUGUUGGAUCCGUAGUGUUUAUUUGACAUAUCGUUUUAUAAUUUGAAAUUGAUAGUCAUUUUGCUGGUUGGUUUUUAUUUUCCUUCUAAUUUUUCCUCAAGUGAAGAAUCACUAUUGUGGUAAAACCAACAAAUCCAGAAGAGUAACCUGGCCCAUUUUAAUAUUUAGCUCCCACUUCUACCUCGAAUAGUAAAGAUUUAUGCUAAAUAAUUGUGAAAUAUGUACUAAAAGAGUAUUCAAGUAGAUUUUCUCUGUUUUCUCAUGUUUAUCAAAUGAUUCUUUCAGUUUUUCCAAAUAUCAAGUAAAAUCUUGCAGAAUGUUGAAUGCCUCAAUCAUGAGUGGUGCUUAAAAAACUUAUAUUUUAGAAAAUGCUGAUUCAACGGGUUCAGAAAACCAUUCAAAGCCUUUGGGCCUGGUAACAUGGUCUUCUCCUGUAGUGCAAGUAGUUUCUUUGGUCCUGGGUAGAAGUUUCACUAAUGAUUAAUGAAGGGGCUUUUAAGGAAGUAGGGAGUACCUGACGUGUAUUUGGGCAUAUGGAAAGAAUGAGAGAUAUGUUUCUGAAGACAUUUAGUGAGAUCAUAUGCUUUACUAAGUGUUUUUGAUUGCUUGACCAUUUAGAACUUUAUUUUAUCUAAGAACCUAUGCACAUUGUGUGAGCGUGACUGUUUCUAUGCAACACUGUAGGGCAUGAGGCCUUAGGAACUGGUAGCAAGAAAUUUCUUAUGAAUGGAUGUCUACUCUUAGCUACAGCUGAUGGUUCAACAGUUGAAAUUAUUGAAGAAAUUGGGGCAGAAAAUAUGUUUUUGUUUGGUGCAAAGCUGGAUGAAGUUCCCAUCUUGCGUGAGAGAGGACCCAACACGAAAGUGAAUCUGCAAUUUGCACGGGUUGUGAGAUAGAUAGUUCGGCUUACCGAAUCAAAUUUGCCAAAGUAUUCAAUAUUGUGCUUCUGUCCAGCCUUUGUUUUGGACGGCCAAAAAAUUAACAUUCUGAUGCUUGCUCGAAGCAUACCUUGAUAGGUUUUCCUUAGAAUAGGAUCAACCUGUUAGACCCAAGCACAACCUUGCUGAAAAUUCCUCUGUACUUUUAUUGAGAUAAUAGAAAAGAAUUACAAAACCCAGACUUUUGAGAGGUCUGGAACUCUCUUACUCCAAAAUUUCGAGGGGUUUGGAAAUAGUCCACACACCCAACUGUACAGGGUGAACAAGUCAAUGUGACGACCCAUUUUGAUACCGAAGAUGAUAAUCAAUCUUCCCAAGUUCCAUCAGGACAAACAUCUUCCUUUAAGCCACGUGGAGUUACUCGCGGCUUGACAACUACAACUAUAGCUAAGGCAUCAUCAACUGGAAAGUUGUCAGUGACUUUUAAUGCGGAGUGUCGUCAACCAAUUUGUACUAAUGCUGAGAAAUUUAAUAAUGAGAUUGGAUUCAUUAUUCGGAAUCAUGGUACAUUUCAUUAUAAAGAGUGGAGAAUGGUCCCAGAAGAUGUGAGAGCUCCAUUGCGACACUAUCUUUUGGAACAUUUUGACAUCAACUUGAAUGAUGAGACAACUAAAAAAUGCAUUGAUGAGCAAAUGAGAAAAGCUUGGAAGGGUCAUUGUGGGUAAUCAACCAACUUAUGAAGAGUUCGUUGAACGACUUAAUGAUACAACUUCCCGCCUUAAUGCUACUAACGAACAACUUAGUGUAGUUGUGGAUAUACUUCGUCAUAACAAUUUGAUGGCACCGCCUCCACCACCUCCAACAGACCAAGCUUCAGAUGCAAAUUUAAGAGAGUCGCCAUCUAUUUCAGUUCGGGAGUCACAAGAUGAUUUUUAGUUUAUUUACAUUAAUUUACUAAGGAAUGAACUUUAUGAAGUUUUUUUUAUUUUGGUAGGGGUAACCUUAAAAUGAUAACUUUAUGACUUAUUUUAGUAUUGAACAUUAUAAAGAAUUUUAGCAUUAAACAUUUUAUUA